rnacentral:rRNA from 1 species
AUACGGAGGGUGCAAGCGUUAAUCGGAAUUACUGGGCGUAAAGCGCGCGUAGGCGGCUAUAUAAGUCGGAUGUGAAAGCCCUGGGCUCAACCUGGGAACUGCAUUCGAUACUGUAUAGCUAGAGUUUGGUAGAGGGAAGUGGAAUUCCACAUGUAGCGGUGAAAUGCGUAGAUAUGUGGAGGAACACCAGUGGCGAAGGCGACUUCCUGGACCAGAACUGACGCUGAGGUGCGAAAGCGUGGGUAGCAAACAGGAUUAGAAACCCUAGUAGUCC